rnacentral:rRNA from 1 species
GGGUGAGUAAUACAUCGGAACAUGUCCUGUAGUGGGGGAUAGCCCGGCGAAAGCCGGAUUAAUACCGCAUACGAUCUACGGAUGAAAGCGGGGGACCUUCGGGCCUCGCGCUAUAGGGUUGGCCGAUGGCUGAUUAGCUAGUUGGUGGGGUAAAGGCCUACCAAGGCGACGAUCAGUAGCUGGUCUGAGAGGACGACCAGCCACACUGGGACUGAGACACGGCCCAGACUCCUACGGGAGGCAGCAGUGGGGAGUUUUGGACAAUGGGCGAAAGCCUGAUCCAGCAAUGCCGCGUGUGUGAAGAAGGCCUUCGGGUUGUAAAGCACUUUUGUCCGGAAAGAAAUCCUUGGUUCUAAUAUAGCCGGGGGAUGACGGUACCGGAAGAAUAAGCACCGGCUAACUACGUGCCAGCAGCCGCGGUAAUACGUAGGGUGCGAGCGUUAAUCGGAAUUACUGGGCGUAAAGCGUGCGCAGGCGGUUUGCUAAGACCGAUGUGAAAUCCCCGGGCUCAACCUGGGAACUGCAUUGGUGACUGGCAGGCUAGAGUAUGGCAGAGGGGGGUAGAAUUCCACGUGUAGCAGUGAAAUGCGUAGAGAUGUGGAGGAAUACCGAUGGCGAAGGCAGCCCCCUGGGCCAAUACUGACGCUCAUGCACGAAAGCGUGGGGAGCAAACAGGAUUAGAUANCCUGGUAGUCCACGCCCUAAACGAUGUCAACUAGUUGUUGGGGAUUCAUUUCCUUAGUAACGUAGCUAACGCGUGAAGUUGACCGCCUG